rnacentral:rRNA from 1 species
UGAACGCUAGCGGCAGGCCUAACACAUGCAAGUCGAGCGGUAGGGACCUUCGGGUCCUGAGAGCGGCGCACGGGUGCGUAACGCGUAUGCAACCUGCCCUGUACAGGGGAAUAGCCCGUCGAAAGGCGGAUUAAUGCCCCAUAGCCCUUGGGGGUGGCAUCGCCACCAAGGUAAAGAUUUAUCGGUACAGGAUGGGCAUGCGUGCCAUUAGCUGGACGGUGGGGUAACGGCCCACCGUGGCGACGAUGGCUAGGGGCUCUGAGAGGAAGGCCCCCCCACACUGGGACUGAGACACGGCCCAGACUCCUACGGGAGGCAGCAGUGAGGAAUAUUGGUCAAUGGGCGGAAGCCUGAACCAGCCAUGCCGCGUGCGGGAAGAAGGCGCUACGCGUCGUAAACCGCUUUUGUCCGGGGGUAACCGCGGGGACGUGUCCCCGCCUGCAAGUACCGGACGAAUAAGGGUCGGCUAACUCCGUGCCAGUAGCCGCGGUAAUCUGAUGGCGCGAGG